rnacentral:rRNA from 1 species
GACGAACGCUGGCGGCGUGCUUAACACAUGCAAGUCGAACGGACAGACCCUGCUUUUGUGGGGUGCUCGGUUGACGAGGGCGUGAGUCGCACGCGAGUAUCCUCCCCCUCUGUUAUAGCUCCAAUCACGUGACUCUGGCUCCUACCGUGUAGGCUCUCCUCCUGCUUUGUGGGUGUUCAGGAUUUUCGGCUGUGGUGGAUGGCCUAGCGGCUUAUCCGCUUGUUGGUGGGGUAGUUGCUUACCAAGGCUUCGACGGGUAGCCGGCCUGAGAGGGUGACCGGCGACAAUGGGACUGAGAGACGGCGCAGACUCCUACGGGAGGCAGCAGGGGGGAACAUGGCACAAUGGGCGGAAGCCUGAGGUAGCGACGCCGCGUGCGGGAUGCCGGCCUUCGGGUGGUAAACCGCUUUCGACGGGGACGAAGCGGGAGUGACGGUAACUGGUAAAGAAGCACCGGCUAACUACGUG